rnacentral:lncRNA from 1 species
ACACAGAUCUGGAGAUCUGUGAAGAACAGCUUUGCUAGCUUCGUCUGGUGGAAUACUUUGGCAGAUUUCUGUAUGCUGAACCAUCCUGCAUCUUUGGAACGAAGCCUAUUUGAUCAAGUGAGCAUGAUGACAUCAUGUGCUGACCCAACUGGACAGAUAGUGAAACUGAGAGGCAGGGCACUUAAGGGCUACUUAAUGGUAAGUCACCAGUAAGUGGCUGAGAUGGUAAGCUAAGAGCAACCUGCCAGUGACUCACAGAAGGAGAAGAAUCAGAAAAAGAAAAACUAGACUCUGUCUCAAACACAGGCAAGAGGGAUGGCUUUGAAAACCCAAGAAACUGGUAAAGAAGAGCUAAACACCUCAGGUGAAAAGCUGAUGGUAUGCUGAUGGUAAAAAAGCCAAGCUGAAUGCUGUUCUAGCUACACAGACAAAGAGCUGAAAGAAGACACAAAACUUAUCCCAGAGCUGAGCCAGGUAUCCCCAAGAACAGAUGACAAACCCACAGUCUUCACAAGCCACCAACUCAGUAUUGGUGAAACUGAUUCCUCCAACAACAGAGGAUAGGAGUCCUAUUUGCCAUCUGAAAUGACUCAGUGGCCAGGCGCCAUCUUGAGAGCGAAGCUAUUGCUUAAAACUGAAUUCCUUGGGACACUGGGAACAGGGAACAGUCACAGGCAGAGACACUGAACUGGCCCUUCCAUAACCUCAAAUAAGAGAUGGCCCUAGGGAGCAGCUGUGGAGAGUAGGGAGGCUGGACAUUGACAAGCCAAAAGGAGCAAGAGCCUCAGCCACUGAAAUACCCCACCCUCACUGGCCAGGAACCGACAGAAUCCACUGCUAACUGCCCUGGCAUUUGAUGACCUGUACCUGAGGUGAUCAAGUGGAGCCACCUAGUUCCACAUUGUAGAGAUCCAGAACGCAUGCUCCAGGAGAAUGCUUGAAAUUGCCAGAUCCCUUUGUGCCUCCAGCUGGGUGAUUGAUACUUGGGGAUCUGGAAAGUUCUAAGGUGGUCCUCUCUCUGCCUGUGCAGAUCUCAGUGUCAUGGUUGCUUCUGUGCACUCCCAAUGCACUCAGAAAAUGUGUCCCUAUUAAAAUAUUACCCAGCCCAGGAAGUGUGAAAUGGGUAAGUGAAGAUGGAGAAACACUACCCACAACACUGAAAAAAAAAAAAAAAAAAAAAAAAGGUUAAAUGUGGCCAGAAGAGGAGCCUGGUAUACAAGGAAGAGACACUACAAUGCCAAGCCAGCUGUGGUGAACAUCUGUCCUAUACAGGCUCAGCAUCAACAUAGAUCACUAGAAUAUAAAGAAAGAAAAGCCAGAACUUCUCAUUGAACCAUUGAAAAGCAUUUAGAAAAGGCAGUAAUUGUUUCAAAGCAGCAUAGACAGCUGGAGCUGGCUAAGGUACCCUACUGUUCGGCCUGCAUGAAGGCAGAGACAGCAUUUGUGAAUGACAACUAAGGCACAAUUGGGAAGGGCAACCCCAAAGGAGCAAAUGGCAAAGAUAAAUCAGUUGAGGCCCACAAGGUCAUGCAAACCUGAAGAUAGUGGCAAGAUUUCCCUUUGAAACCCUCACUAUUAGUGCCUGUCUAAGAGUAUAAUGGAACUCCCCCGUGGAGCCAAGAGCAGCAUCACAUCUGGGCAUUGAGUCUUAUUUCUCAGGGCCAAAAUUGUUGGGGGGAAAGCUACUAAGGACCUUGUUAAGUUGGUGAUUUAGGCAAUCUGUGGAUGUCACUUCAUUACUCCAUGACCUGAUGGACUUGCAAGUACUGUACAACGGAAGGUCUCCUAAGCAGCUGGGCUGAUGCUUUACAUUUGGAAGCAGAACAUCAAUAAAGAGAUGAGAGGAAGCAAUCUAUCUGCCCUUCGUGGCCAUGUCUAGCUCGUCACAGAAGGAGUGAUAAAGCUCCCUUCCAGUGUUAGAAGGAGCAAAAUCUUCGAUGGGAUGACCAAGAAGGAAAAUCUCUACUGAAGACUGUGUCCAAGCAGCAUCCAGGCCUCCAUCUUCUAAUGCGCAAAAUGAAAAGGCAGGCUUUCUCAACAGUUUGCCAACUUGGUCCUUGAACACUUUCCUUUCCACAGAGGCCCCCCGGGUGUCAGAAGGAAAUGGGUGAUGUGUACCCCCAAUCUACUCAUCCUCAUCCACAUUGUAACAGCACUACACACAGGAGAGUUGUUUGUGUCGGCUCUGCAUACAGUCCUUUAAACCGGGCUCUAAAGAAAAUAUUCCAAUUUCUAAUAAUAAACAUUAAAGGUCAAAUU